UGAGGAAUAUUGGUCAAUGGACGAGAGUCUGAACCAGCCAAGUAGCGUGAAGGAUGAAGGUCCUACGGAUUGUAAACUUCUUUUAUAAGGGAAUAAACCCUCCCACGUGUGGGAGCUUGUAUGUACCUUAUGAAUAAGCAUCGGCUAACUCCGUGCCAGCAGCCGCGGUAAUACGGAGGAUGCGAGCGUUAUCCGGAUUUAUUGGGUUUAAAGGGAGCGCAGACGGGUCGUUAAGUCAGCUGUGAAAGUUUGGGGCUCAACCUUAAAAUUGCAGUUGAUACUGGCGUCCUUGAGUGCGGUUGAGGUGUGCGGAAUUCGUGGUGUAGCGGUGAAAUGCUUAGAUAUCACGAAGAACUCCGAUUGCGAAGGCAGCACACUAAUCCGUAACUGACGUUCAUGCUCGAAAGUGUGGGUAUCAAACAGGAUUAGAUACCCUGGUAGUCCACACGGUAAACGAUGGAUACUCGCUGUUGGCGAUAUACUGUCAGCGGCUUAGCGAAAGCGUUAAGUAUCCCACCUGGGGAGUACGCCGGCAACGGUGAAACUCAAAGGAAUUGACGGGGGCCCGCACAAGCGGAGGAACAUGUGGUUUAAUUCGAUGAUACGCGAGGAACCUUACCCGGGCUUGAAUUGCAAAGGAAUAAUCUGGAAACAGGUUAGUCUUCGGACCUUUGUGAAGGUGCUGCAUGGUUGUCGUCAGCUCGUGCCGUGAGGUGUCGGCUUAAGUGCCAUAACGAGCGCAACCCUCGCCGCCAGUUACUAACAGUUAAAGCUGAGGACUCUGGCGGGACUGCCAUCGUAAGAUGUGAGGAAGGUGGGGAUGACGUCAAAUCAGCACGGCCCUUACGUCCGGGGCUACACACGUGUUACAAUGGGCGGUACAGAAGGCAGCUACCUGGCGACAGGAUGCCAAUCCCUAAAGCCGCUCUCAGUUCGGACUGGAGUCUGCAACCCGACUCCACGAAGCUGGAUUCGCUAGUAAUCGCGCAUCAGCCACGGCGCGGUGAAUACGUUCCC
rnacentral:rRNA from 1 species